GAUCAGGACAAACGGGCCGCGUCAACAGAAAUCUUGUCAGGGCACGAGUGAAGCAACCACCACCACCCUGGGUUAAUCGUUUACAAACAGUUUAAAAAUUAAGAAACGAGGCAUCCAGGCGUCAACCCCCACGGUCCUCUCACUUCCACUCGAUCGGUACUUUAAUCGGAUUCAAACGAGCAAACGACUGGCUGAAGAAUGGGCCCCUCAGUGAAGCAAGGGAGCGUGGUGCAGGGUGUGUAUAAAUCCGUCUCUGCUGCCCGCAGCAGUACAGCUUAAGCACAACUGAAAAUUUGUGUUAUCUUUCAACCACAAGAAGCUGGAGCUUGACUGUCUAAAGGCAUCAUAAUGUCUUAUGAGCGGAUUCUCUCCAUUGAAAAUUUAAGUGAUGUUCCAAAUCCAUGGAAGGGAUUCACUAUGAACCGCUGUUUAGUGGUGGCACUGGUUGUGCUAAUUGUGAGCUCAGGAGUUAAUGAGGUGCACGAUGCUCUGGAUUAUGUUGUGGAGAAGACCGGUGUCUGGUCUGUCUUUGGAAUUCUGCAGAGUCCUUCAAUAUCACAGAUGUCCAUAUGGGACAGCUUCAUGUGGUGGUGGGGAUCUGAAGAAGUCGGAGUCAUAAGAAGGAGGAAAAAGCCAGUCACUAACAAAGCAAUCCUGAAGCCCAAAAUCAAAGCAUAGCACACGUACU